CCCGUCAGUGUCUGCCUCGGCGACUUUUGGCGCAGCAUCCUCAUCCCCACGCUGCUCCCGGCUCGGCGCUGCCAGACCAUGUUCAGAAAUGCCGGAGGAAUCGGGGCAUCCGGACGCGGGAUCCAAUGGCCCGCUGGCGCUGUCAGGACAAGCUGCUCUGUCUUUAGGCUAGAAGAGCACAAUCGGACGCUUGUGACCUCAGUAACUGUAUAUGGUUUUGAGGAUUGCUGGCACAUGCCAGAACACCCUCUCAACAGGAUGGUUCUGUGAGGUGCUGUACAACUGAUGAAGGACCUGCAUCCAUCUUCCCACAAGCCUGAAAGAAAGGACAGGAGGAGAAUCCUGGAGAUGGAACCCAGGGCCUUGCACAUGGUAGGCAGAGCUACUCACUCCUGAACUCAGUCCCUAACUCAAGACUAUAGACGAUGUCACGCUGCCACCCAGCUGGGCCUGAGAAUGAGCCAGCAGAGCGGACUGCCUGUUCUUCCACUCUCCUGGCCCGGGUACUCAGGAACUCUUCCGAGACAAGUUGGGUCCCAGCCCCACCCUGUCUUCCUCUCUCCUUCUUGCUUUCAGUUCCGUUUCUAACAGAAAAGAAAGAAGAGCUUCUGAGUACAGGCUCAGCCCCAGACUCUUA